GUCAGUCCUGUCGGCGACAAUGCCAUCUCCGUCGACGGCAAGGUCAUCAAUAUCGUAUCCAGCCGCAAUCCCAUCAACAUCCCGGCAAGGUUGAAGUGAAGGCUAUGUGGGAGGUUGACAGUAUACUAUUGAGGAAAAGGUGAUUGAAGAGCUUAUAAGAAUCUUGCACUUGAUGCUUUGGUUAUCCAGCAAGGAAGGCUGGCAGAGCAAAAGUGCAGCUGUAAGGAUGAGCUACU